CACUAGUGAGGAGAAACCAGGUUUGGUUAUGAAGGAUUGUGUGGGUAGCUAAAAAUACGAUUUUCUUGAGUUUUGAAUCGAAACUAAUCACCAUAUCGUUUAAUACAGGAUAUCAAAUCGAAUAAUUUUUCUACAGUAACAAGAAAUUACAGCAACAGUGUUUCCAACAGAUAGAUGAACUACACAAUUUUCCGAACGUAUGUCGAUUAGUUUUCUGACGUAAAUCGAGGUCUUCAUUGUUUACGUGAUUACAAUGUUAAAGUUGUGAGUGCCUGCAGUUGUGAAAGUGGUUGAAACAUCUAGAACAGCCUGGAAAGACAUUCGUUCCCAAUGCAAAACGUCCAGCGCUCUAAUUAGUACCCGCCUUUCAAUAUAUCAGGAUGGAGCACCACUGCACUGGCACCAUCUUGUAAGAGUAUUUCAUCGUCCUACAUGCUCUCCCUUCCAACAUCUUUGGGUGAACUGCGACGCCACAUAGCAGAAUCAGUGAAUGCAGUAAAUCGAGACAUAUACACAAAGCAAAGAAUUUGUUUAUCAGCUGGAUGCUUUUCAUGCAUCAGGUGGAGGGCACACUGGAAUUUGUGAAAAUUGCUGAUGUGAGAGGGAUGGAAAAUGUUUCUAAAAGAAAAAUAUGGGAGUUAUUGCUGGGAUCUGCACACCAUUUUACACAGAACUUUAUUUACCACGGCUGUAAUUAAGGUGUUAACAAUGAG